rnacentral:lncRNA from 1 species
CUGUGUUGUGCAACUGAGGUGAAUAUGCAUGAUUUGAUAUGAUUGAGGCAUUUCUUGUUUUAGCUACUUGGCCAAAUAAACUUACCUUAACAUUAAUCCAUUGGAAACCCCUUUGAGCCUUAAGACUAUUUUUCUUGUUUCCAGAAAUUGCCAAAUGAAAAAAAUGAAGAAAAAUCAUAUGUUCCUCACCUUGGGAAAGAAGAAUGAGUAAUGGAUCGUGUUAUAAGUAAGUAAUGAAUAAGUGUGUGGGUAAGUGUCUCACCACAAAAUAAAAGGAAGGCAAAAAGGAAGAUGAAAAGUUGAAGUUUUGAAAAAAAAAGUGAUGAAAAAAAAAGAAGGUGAGGAAAAAAAAAAGAAAAGAAAAGAAAAAAAAAAAGAGAUAAAAAAAAAAAUCUUCCUAAAAAGAGCAAGAAAUAAGGUUGUUUUUGAAAUAAAGUGUCAUUACUCUUUCUAUAUCAAUUUCAAAAACCCAUCAAUUCCAAAAAAAAAAAAUUCUUACCUUUGCCUUGGCCUCAAUAUAACCUUUAAGAAGUCCUCAUGAUCAAGAAUUGCAUGUUUUCUGAAGUAUGUGAAUGUUAGAGUCUUGUUAAAUACCAAGGGUGUUUAUUUACAUGGGUAUUUUGAGUGUAAACACAAGCCAAAAACACUUGAGAGAUUUGGAGAGAAAUAGAUACAUUUUGACUUAAGUGUUAUCUUUCAUAUUUGAUUUUCUUGGGAAUUCAAAAAGUUUAACUCAUGUGCUAAGAAUUAAGUGAUUUCGAUUGCAUGUCCAUGACAAAGUGAUGAUUAUAUGAUUGAUCUAUGUCCAGGGAUGUUCAUUCUUUUGAUCCAAAUGCAAAUAUGGAAUAAAAUGGCCCAGAACAAAGUUUUGAAAUUAAUGAAUUUUUCCCAGGANNNNNNNNNNNNNNNNNNNNNNNNNNNNNNNNNNNNNNNNNNNNNNNNNNNNNNNNNNNNNNNNNNNNNNNNNNNNNNNNNNNNNNNNNNNNNNNNNNNNNNNNNNNNNNNNNNNNNNNNNNNNNNNNNNNNNNNNNNNNNNNNNNNNNNNNNNNNNNNNNNNNNNNNNNNNNNNNNNNNNNNNNNNNNNNNNNNNNNNNNNNNNNNNNNNNNNNNNNNNNNNNNNNNNNNNNNNNNNNNNNNNNNNNNNNNNNNNNNNNNNNNNNNNNNNNNNNNNNNNNNNNNNNNNNNNNNNNNNNNNNNNNNNNNNNNNNNNNNNNNNNNNNNNNNNNNNNNNNNNNNNNNNNNNNNNNNNNNNNNNNNNNNNNNNNNNNNNNNNNNNNNNNNNNNNNNNNNNNNNNNNNNNNNNNNNNNNNNNNNNNNNNNNNNNNNNNNNNNNNNNNNNNNNNNNNNNNNNNNNNNNNNNNNNNNNNNNNNNNNNNNNNNNNNNNNNNNNNNNNNNNNNNNNNNNNNNNNNNNNNNNNNNNNNNNNNNNNNNNNNNNNNNNNNNNNNNNNNNNNNNNNNNNNNNNNNNNNNNNNNNNNNNNNNNNNNNNNNNNNNNNNNNNNNNNNNNNNNNNNNNNNNNNNNNNNNNNNNNNNNNNNNNNNNNNNNNNNNNNNNNNNNNNNNNNNNNNNNNNNNNNNNNNNNNNNNNNNNNNNNNNNNNNNNNNNNNNNNNNNNNNNNNNNNNNNNNNNNNNNNNNNNNNNNNNNNNNNNNNNNNNNNNNNNNNNNNNNNNNNNNNNNNNNNNNNNNNNNNNNNNNNNNNNNNNNNNNNNNNNNNNNNNNNNNNNNNNNNNNNNNNNNNNNNNNNNNNNNNNNNNNNNNNNNNNNNNNNNNNNNNNNNNNNNNNNNNNNNNNNNNNNNNNNNNNNNNNNNNNNNNNNNNNNNNNNNNNNNNNNNNNNNNNNNNNNNNNNNNNNNNNNNNNNNNNNNNNNNNNNNNNNNNNNNNNNNNNNNNNNNNNNNNNNNNNNNNNNNNNNNNNNNNNNNNNNNNNAGAAUGUACUUUGGUUGAAUUUAUUGUGAAUAAUCUAGAAAGGUCUUGCAUUUGAUUGAGAAUGUACUUUGAUUAACUGCAUGACCGCCCUCAAAUUAAUUAAGAAUGUACUUUAAUUAAUUUGAAACUUAAACAAUAAUCAAUUGAACAAUGAUCUGUGAAUAACCGAUGAUGAAUCUAUUUUGGAAAAGCAUUGGAAUUAGCCUGUUUCUUCAUAAUUGUUUUUAAGUUUUCUAUUUGUUUUACAACAACCUUUAAACAUCCUCACUUUUGUUCUUAAGCAUUGCACAGCAUUCAUAAGUUUCAGAUAUUUGAAAGAAAUUCCGUGUUCAUUGGGAGACGACUUAGGGUUACUUUAGCCCUAUCUAUUUUCUUGAAUACUACUAGGCAAUACUGAAGUUGCCUUGAAAAGUAGUAUUAAUUUGAUAGCUUCAACGACAGCUUAUCAACAGUCAACAUAGUAGCUCUCAGUCAUCCAAAAUCAACACACAUUUAAUACAGUUGACCAAGUCAUCAAUGCGUAACUAACUUUUAAAAAUAUAGCCGUUGGAGCGCAAAAGCAUAACAGUCGAAUGUAAACUAGACAAAGUUGAAUGUGAACCAGACAAAGUCGACUGACACAUGUAAAAAGACUUUGAAAUUCUUUUCAACUCAAAACAUCACUUAGUACCGAUUUUCAAAACCGGUACAAAGGUUUUAGCAUAGUCGAAUCCAUUAGUAAUGUAGUCGACUGUACUAUAACUUUGUCACACAGUUAUAACAUUCAUGAAAGUGCUUGUGGUUUUUCACUUUAAAAAUUGUGUAGUAAAACAUAUGUAAUAAAGCAUUUCACAUUGCACAUAAUCAUGUAAGCAUGUUCCACAAAUAUAUCAAACAAUCAACAUAGGAACAUACAACAUAGUACAUCAAACAUGUUCAGCAGAUAUAACAAUCAGUACAACAUAAGAACAUGUAAUGCAACAACAUAUGUAUUGUUAUUAAGCAAAAGUGUUGUCAUCAUAAAAAACUAGAUUGAUAUAGAGUUUGUGUUUUCAAUAAUCUCAACAGUUCCAUUUCAUGUAUAUAAGAAUUAUUCUUUAUGCAUUAAUGUCAACGUCCCUCACUUAAUCACUUAAACCCGAUCCCUCAAUAAAUUAGCAUGUCCCUAAUUCUCAGUCGAAUAGCCUACUAAUACAGUCAACUGUAUUAAAACAGUUAUAACAUACAGUCAACAAAAAUGCUCCUCAGUCAACUAAAUCAAUGCACAUUUAAGACAGUUGACCCAGUCAGUCAAUACAUUCAUUGGAGCAAGUAGGCAUAGCAGAAUUCCAAAUAUAACAGCAAUACAGUCGAAUAAAUGUUCCACACUGUCGACUAACACAGGAAAAAAUACUUUAAAAUUCUUUUCAACUCAAAAUCUCAUCAAGCAUAGGUUCACAAAAUCUGUACAAAGAUUUUAGCAUAGUCAAAUCCAUUACCAGUGUAUUCGACUAAACUAGACCUUUGUCACAACAAAUAUAAGUUCAUAAAAGUGCUUGUGAUCUUUUCUUCAAAAAUGUGCAAAAGUAAUCAAAAUCAUUUUAUCACUCGUUUCAAUACAAGCAUGUUCCAUACAUAUAGCACAUAGUCAAUCAUAGGAACACACAUUGCAAAUCAAACAAAACAUGUUCAACAAAAGCAUUGUUCAAUCCAGUUUGGUAUAUCAGUUGAACAUGUAAACCUGGAACAUAUGUAUUGUUAUUGAGCAGUGUGUUGUCAUCAUCAAAAACCAGUUUGAUAUAGAGUUUGUGUUGUCAACAAUCUCAACACUUCUCUGCCAGGGAUGCAAAACCUAGAGCCCUAGGAUCCUUUAAAUAGUGUUAGAGGCCUGCCAAAAGAGGGUCUGGUCCAAAAGAGUCAAAACAGAGCAGAAAUAGGGCCCGACUCACGAAAGUUCUCGCCCAAGCGUCCAAGGAGGUCACCCGGGCGAGAAGCGAGCCUCAUGUAUGGCCCGGGCUACGAUUAUGGUCGCCCAAGCUACGAGGCCUCGUCGCCUAGGCGACAAGGAUUCUCGCUCGGGUGACGGACGUCAAUACAGCUCGCUUGAGCCUCGCUUUUGGUCGCCCAUGCUUCGUCUUUUCCCUCCUUCUAGUGCCUUUUUGAGCCCUUCUAAGCUCCAUCUUCUUAGUUUUUCAUCUCUUCUUCCAGUAUUACUUCAAUCUGUGUCAAAACAAGGGGAAUUAGUCAUAAAACCAUUGAAAUCAACCUCAACUCUCUUAUUCACACAAUUUAUUGAAAAGGUAUGAGUCCAAGCAAGUUUCUAAGUGAAAAAGGGUGUUUUUAGUAUCAAAAUUACAUCACAAAUAACGGUGUUUUAAACCGUUAUCACACUUAGUGACUUAAAAACAUUAUUUUUAUAUUAAUUGGUUAUGUCAUUUUGGAUAGUUGUUUAACAUUAUUUAUUGGGUAGCAUCUACUGAAGGAUGCUAAAAAGGUUAAGUAUCUACUGAAGGCUACAGGAAGGUACACCUACUGAUGGGUGUUGUAAGAAUUACACUUACUGAUGAGUGCUAUAAAGGUUUGGGUCAAGCUCAUGACGUUAAACAAGCGCUACCUGAGAGGCAACCCAAUUGAUUGAUUUACUUUUGUUGCAUGUUUUAUUGUUGUUCUAGUUGCAUUUAGGGCUUAAUUGUUCCAUAAGUGAGUAAAAUGAGUGGGAAUUGCACGAAAAUUAAAAUUUGAAAGUUGAAAUUGAGGGUUACAAGGUCCAAGACGCUUAAAGUAAAGCAAAAAGGGGGAAAAGCCAACUCGCGCCCACCUCCCGACGCUGACUCACCGCCCGACGGUGGCAUCCUAGAGGGCUUAAGUGAUUUUAAGAUCGGGCUCAGCUUUCUUGGCCCAUUGCACAAUUUUAUUACCCCUUAGGGUUCGCCCAAGCGUCCACAAUUAGCCCCCUACUCUCUCUUUCACUUUCAAACACUCUUCUAACUUCUCCCAUCAUCCCACUUCUAGAAAACCUAUUUUCCAUCACUUUUGCACCAUUCCACCAUCAAAGUUUGUGGUAUUUUAGAGAGCACUACAUUUGGGCUUCAUCCAUCAUCAAUUUACAAGCAAUUUGCACACAUUCAAGGUCUCUCCAUCCAAGUAAGGCAUACAUUUUUCAUUUUAGGGUUUCUAAAUCAUGAAUUUGAUGAAAAUGUGUGUAAAAGCAUGAAAUUUUAGGGUUGUUGAUUUCUAUGCAUGAUUUGUUGAAAUAGAAACUAUUUGAACCGAUUAAAAUGUGUGAUUAAGGACUGGAACUGUGAAAUUUGCAAUUGAGUGGAGAUUAAAAGUGUUUAGGAGGAAUUUUGAGAAAUUACCGUCGUCACCGCUGGGCGGUGGCCUGGCAGAUUAUGCUUUGCUUGUUCUUUUUUUAGAUGCAGGUGGCGCUAAUGGGUCCUGUUUAGCCUUGAGCGUUGAUCAGUGAUGUGUUUGGAUGUGAUUGAUGUUUUGCUAAUGCUUAAUGUGUUUUGCUUUGGUCUUGUGAAUUAUGUUUGAUGCAGGAAUGGCUUCCUCAUCAAGAAAGAGGGUUAAGACCAUAGGAAACAAGAGGAAAGAACCAUAUAGGUUCUAUUCCGACAGGUUUCGAACUAGGAGACAUCAGCUACAUCAUCGUCGUAUCCAGGAGAGAUGUUUAUUAAUGGAGAGAAAGGCAGUUUGGAUACCAGACUUUGCUCCUCAUUUUGGACAGGAGCUUGAGAGCAAGAAUUGGGAGAAAUUGGCUACAUACCCUACUCCUGCAAACAUAGCAGUGGUAAAGGAGUUCUACACAAAUGCCAAACCAUUGGAUGAUUCUCACUUCAUGGAUUAUAUGAGCUAUGUGCGUCGUAAAGUUAUUAGUUAUGCUCCUAAAACGAUUAAUAGGUUUCCGAACACUGAAUGGGUAGGUGAACAGUGCCAGUAUUAGUUGAAUGUUCAAAAAGGCACUGACUUUGAUGAUAUGGAGAGAGUACUCUGUGUGCCUGGAGGGCACUUUUACAAGAACCCAAGUGGACCUACAAUUCAUAUAAAAAGGACUAACUUGAUACCACUGGCAUAGUAUUGGAUGACAUUCACUCAUGCCAAUGUGACACCAUGCUCUCAUGUUUCAAACAUCACUGUCAACAGGGCUAUGUUUAUUUACUGUGUGCUAAAAGGAAUGAAUAUCAAUAUUGGCCAGGUGAUUGCAAAUGAGAUCAAGAGCUGUGCAGUCACUACUAACAACAAAGCACCCUUGGGACAUCCCUCAUUGAUCACACACCUAUGCCAUGCAGCUGGGGUGCAUACAUUUACUCCACCAUUUGAGCAACUCGGGGAGGCCAUUAAUGAGGCCUAUUACAGGCAGUUUCGUGGAGAGUUGAGGCAGCAACUCAACCAGCGCCUCAGAGACAGUCUGAGAGGAGAGUUCCACUACCACAGGCUUAAGGAGAUGCACUAGCUCAUGAUGCAGAGCCAUUUCAGAUGAGAGACAUGUAUAUGUCUCUUAUGGAGUCCAGAUUUGAGUCUAUUCAAAGAGGAUAAAUUGCUACUGCUGAGAUGAUCAUAGCCAUGUACAACACACCUCUUACACAAAGGUGGACUAUGGACGAGUUCAAUAACGUGGUGGCUUGGCCAGAAAAGGCGUAGGGUAGUAGAUCUGGAGCAGCUGAAGCUCCAACCAUGGAUGAGGAUGCUGAGGAAGACGACAGUGAUGAUGAUUUUGAGGAUGCUGAGGAUGAAGAGGAGGAGUCCGAUGAUAGCAUGGUUGAGGAACUUACAUAGCAUCUACUGAUGGAUGCUAUCUACAAUAGAACAUGGUUUUUCUUAUCUUUUGUUUUGUUUUAGUAGUAUAGGAUUUGCUUCUGUGUAGUAGUGCAAGAUUUGCUUCUGUUGAGUAGUAUAGGGUUAAUGUAUUUGGUCUAAAACUUUUCUUAUAUGAUGGUUUGAUUGUUUGAUGUUGCAUGAGAUAAGUUACUUGAUGAUGCUUGUUAUUGAAUGAUGCUAAGCCGGGGAGCUAAAAACUUGUUAAGACUCCGACAAGUGUACCGAAUCAUAUCAAGUAAUAUAAAUGGUAAGACCAAAUAUCAUUUUCCCUAAAGAUUCAUUGGCCUAAACAGUUAAGUGAUUUGUUGAUUAUUUAAGACUUGAGAACGAAAAUCAUUGUGUUUAUAAUGCCAAAAAGUAAAUAUGAAGGCAAAUGUUGAUCAAUUGACCAAAAGAAUGCGCAGGUGAAUGAUGUAUAAAAUAUGGAAUGAUUAUGUUGUUGGGGUUUUCGACUAAUCCUAUCCAUUCUCAUGUAUUUAGCGAUAUUAUGCUUGUUUUGCAUUGUUUUGUAGCAUUUUUGAGAAAGUGAAGAAUGGAGUUGAAGAUAAAGGUCUUAGACUCAAGAAAAGGAAAGAAAGGUUGAAGAUCAAACGGUUGCAGUGCAGGAAAGUCAACCAGAAUGCAGAAAAGUCAACCAGUCAACCAGAAAAGUCAACCAGUCAACCAGAAAAGUCAACCAGUCAACCAGAAAAGUCAACCAGAAAAGUCAACCCGUCAACCAGGAAAAGUUGACCAAACCGCCAGGCGGUUGACCGGAGCUCCGGGAGGUUGGUUUUGGUGCCGGGCGGUUGUGCAGCUUGAGGCAAACCGCCGGGCGGCCAUUUGUGGCGCCGGGCGGUUCUACGAUGGGCUUGGUCUUGAAUUUUGUUACUUUUCUUGGUUAUAAAUAGCCCUAGUGCGAGUUUAGAUGUAUUCUUUUGACAGGGGAGAACGACCAGACCUAAUUUUGCUCUCUGGAGAGGAUCUCUUGGAUGCUUAGGCUCCUUUUCAUCUUUUCUAGGGUUUGCUCUUCCAUUCUUCUUCCAUUUCUCAUCUAGUCUCACCAUGUCUAUGGUGAACUAAACCCUAUUGUUGUUGGGGGAAACAAUGUAAUCUUUUGAUACUCUCUUGUAUUGAAACUCUUGAUUAUUUAUAUGGUCUCCGUAUGUUUUGAUUGAUAAUUGUUGGGUUAUCAUCUGUGCUUAAGGCCUUUAUUGUUUAACUCAGUCGGCAACUGAUGUUUGUCUUUAUUGAUAUGGGGACGUACAAUAAUGACAUGAACUGGUGAGUAAUCUCUUGAUUUUGCAAUACCACCUAAGGAUAGUUGAUAGGACGAUCAAUUGCGCUAACUUCUGUUUAUAAUGCGGUAGUAAUUGCUAGGGGAGGCUAGGGAUAGCAAACCAGUAGUUAAUAUUAGGCUCUUUUCACAGAAGGAUCAGGUUAAGGGGAGGCUAAGAAAGUCGCAUAACAAUUAAUUAAUCAAACUAAUAUUCAAGAGGAGUAGAUAAGAGAGGGCAGAUUAGAUGAAAUUGUAAACCCCCAACAACAUCCAUUCAUCCAUUGUUUUCUUUUGUCAAUUGAAUCAACUCUAUUUUGCAUGUUAAUAUUUUUGUUCUCAAAUCCAAUUUAUUAAUUUUUAUUUGCAAGUCUUAUUAUUUUAAUUCACACGAACGAGAAAACCAUUCGAGUCUCUUAGGAAAACGAUACUUGGUCUUACCAUUUAUAUUACUUGUACGAUUUGGUACACUUGUCAAUCCGUCAACAAAGAUAGACCCUCUAGGUGACUAAAUCCUUAUAUAGUUUAUAAAAAUAACAGAAAACUGGCCUAGGCCCACGCUGAUGGCUCUUAAUGCUAAAAUCACGCUCACCGAUAAGUGUGGCACUCAAAAUAAUGCUCAACGGUGGCGCCCAGGCGAAAGACAAAUAACUCAUCAGCAAGAUGAUAGCGGUUUAAAACACCGUUAUUUUUACUUAGAAACUUGCUUACACUUAUUCUUUUUGAAUAAAUUGUGUGAAUAAGAGAGUUGAGGUUGAUUUCAAUGAUUUUAUGACUAGUUCCCCAUGUUUUGACAGAGAUUGAAGAAAUACUAGAAGAGGAGAUGAAAGAACAAGAAAAGGGAGCUCAAAAGGAGUCAAAAAGGCACCAGAAGGAGGGAAAACACGCAGCCCGGGCGUCUAGAAGCGUAGCCUAAGCGACCAGAAUCGACGUCCGCCGCCCGAGCAGUGGCCCUCGACGCCCAGGCGGUGCUGCUUCGUAGCCUGGGCGUCCAAAUCUGAUGCCCAGGCCCAACAUGGCUCUCAAUUCUCGCCUGGGCGGUCCCUCUACAACGCUUAAGCGUGAAUUCACUUGGAUCGGACCUUGUUUCAACUCUGUUUUGAUUUUUUCGCACCAGGCUUCAUUCUGACACGCCUCUAACACUAUUUAAAGGACCCUGGGGCUCUAGGUUUUGCAUCCCUGGUAGAGAAGAGCAUAACAAUACAAUCUUAGCCAAUUCUUAGUCUUUCAUUCUCUUUCUUUCUUCCAUUGUUCAUAGAGUUCCCCCAUGUCUGUGGGGAACUAAUUUCUAUUUGUUGUUGGGGAAUGAUGUAACCUUGUAAACUCUCAUGUAUUUGAAUUGAUUCUUAAUUUCAUAUGCUUUUUCAUUAAUUUUUAGAGUAAUUCAUCUGUUUUAUUCUCGCUUAUACAAUAAAAUUAUCUAUGAAUUGCAUAAGUGUUGGGAGUUUCCUUUCAAUUCAGGUUCUUGUUGAAUUACUUCUAAGGGUUAUAUUUUUCAGGGAUGAGGGUAUGAGUCUUAGUCGUCUUAACCUCUUGAUCUUCACAUCUUUUUACCAGGAAUGUUAGGAAUUGUAUGAACUGGUAAUUAGGGACAAGCUUAUUUACUGAGGGAUCGGGUUUAAGUGAUUUACUGAGGGACGUUAGCAUUAAUGCAUAAAGAAGAAUUCUUAUAUACAUGAGAGGGAACGUGGGGAAAUCUAACCCCAACAACAUAUCCAUCUCAUAUAAAUCAACCUUCGUUCAUCUUUGUUCUCUUUUGCCAUUAAUCAAUUGCACUUUAUUUUCUUUUUUAUUUUUGCACUCCAAAUCCAUGAUUUCUUUUAUUUUAAGUCUUGAUUACAAGAUUGGCGCUGAGCGGUAGAAAUGUUUCUCAGUGGUGAGUGCGACACUUGGAUUUGGCCCUCAGCGAUGGCACUCAGGCGUCAAACAGUGAUCUCCAUAGCGAUCUUGGCGCUUAGCGGUAAAGUGGUGCUCAACGCUAGCUGCGGUUCUUGUUUUGUGCACUUUUCCUACUUCUCCUAAGUCCAACUCCUUGCUACUUCAACUUCUUUCAUCUAAUUCAUAUUAAUUCCUGCCAAAACAAGGAAAACCAAGCAUAAAACCAAUAAUACCACCUUCAACUCCUAUUACCCUCACUCUUCCCUCUAUGAUUAUUACCUUCACUUCUCCCCCUGUGAUUAUUACCCCCACUUCUCCCCUGACCCUACUUCUAGACCUUCCUCAUCUUGUAUACCGCCUUCUAAUCCAGAUUCAACUGGUGAUGUGGAUGGUGUUGACGUGCCCCUCCAUGAUCAACCAUGGAUUGAGCCAUAUGCUAAAGGGUAAGAUUUUAGUCCCUUUUUUCACCAUUUUGAUGUUUAAAGAUUGCCUUAAUUCAAAUGACUUUUAUUUAUUUAUAUGCAGGUUUAUUUCAUCUAGGGUUGCUUCCCAGGCGAUCACACAAUCAAUUAAGCAAUAAUAUUUGAGUCCAUGGCCUAUUUGGGGAGCAAUACCUUUAGAUGAUAGAAAGUCAUUCUGGAACAUUUUAAGGUGAACAACCCAUUAAACUAAUUGUCAUUCUUAUUUUAGUAUGUUCAUUAAUCAAUGUUUGUUUUGUUUAUUGUUACAAAUGAAGGUGCAGUGGAAACCUGAACAUGAAACUUAAAUACAAAGAAAUUUUCACAUGAAAGCAUCUCAUCGGCUGUCAGAAAUGUUUAGAAAUGCCCGCAAUGCAAGGGAGCGCCCUUACUGGUUGAGCGAGCACAUUUGGAACUCUUUACUCACUCAUGGGAAUUCAAGAGAGUUUCACAAUAAGUGUGCUACAAACUAGAGGAACAGAGCUUAUGAAAAGGGUGACACCUUGCAUAUUGGUUGGUCGAUCACGGUUCAUGAGCAUGCUAUUUGUAUGGUAAACUUUCAUUACUUUUUUUUUCUUUCAUAUAUAACUUAUGUAUUUUCUAUUACCUGGGUAAGUGAAGUUUGUUAACUUCAAAGUAUCAUGUCUGAUUUUAAUAUAUAACAAUUAAAUUAUUAUCAAUUUCAGGCACCAUUUUCAACUACUUAUUGUUUCCAUAUCAGAGAGUUAUUUUGUGUGGUUCUGCUCAUUGCAUAAGUCUCCUCCCAAACAUCUUAGACAAGUAAUUGAUUGGUAAGAACCUCAAUGUUUGGUCUUUCUUUGUUAUAUAAAUGAAUGCUAAAGCCUUCUGUUUUUAAUAGUUCCAUUACAACACGUAUGAUGUUUUCUGGGAGAUCAACUACUAACGGUAAAAAGCUUACAUGGUUGACUCUUUAGGUUUGACAUAUGCUAAAGCCACACUUUCUUAUAGUUGUUUUUGUUGGAAAAAGAAUGGCUUAGUUUCGACACCAAGAGGGGGGAUAAAUUGAUGAGGUUAAAAAAUCAGAGUUUUUUUCAAAUCUUUUUCGCAAAAUAUAAACCUUUCAAAAGUUUCAUGAAUCUAAAAAAAAAGAUAAGUCAGUAUAGCGGAAAAAUAAAGUUGGUUGUACAGAAAGUAAAGUUGACUUAAAGUAAAAAGUUCAGGGAUAGAGAAAAUCAAACACAAUUUUUAUACUGGCUCGGCCAAACUGCUUACAUUUAGUGUCCUUCCUGUACUGGGUAGAAAAUGCACUAUAAUGGUCAAGGUUUUUACAACAAGGUUUCUAUAGAGAUCUCAACGUCAAAAUAUAAAAGUUAAAACAAUUAGUAGCAGUCAAACCAACCAAAUUGAUUACACAUCAAAUUCAGUUGACUUGCAAUAAAUGCUUGAACACAAAAUCAAAAUAUAGUCGUUAUGGUUCACAAGCAUUAAUAGAAUUUCAAAACGUAACUAACUAAGUCAAAUUCCCUACACAUGCAGUCAACUAUGUCACUUCGAUUUAGUUUUGAAAAUCUUUUUAUUGCAAAAUUACUCACAACACUGUUUUAGAAAAUCUGUGCAAAGUCACGAGUUUUAAUCGACUUACUUCAUAAUGAAGUCGACUUAAAACUUGCAAUUUUGCCACACAAUAUAAGUUGAACUAAGUGCAUGUGGUUUUCUUUUCUAAAACAUAUGUUAUGCAAUCACAAAUGAUAUAUCAUGUAGAAAAAGACAAUGAAUAUGCAUACAUAUACAAAAUCAACACAAACAUGUUCUUCAAGAAUACAUACACAAGUAAAGAUUUGAACAUGUAACACAUAUGAAUACAUGUGUUGUGAUCAUAAAAAACCAGAACACUAUGAGAUUAAGGUUUAGCUAAACCAGUGCUUCCCUUAUAAACAAUCUCAACAGUUUUGUUUUAAUUAUUUUCACUAACUGUUUACAACUAUGAUGAUAUAUUGUAGUGUCAUACACAAAGUGGGUCAUAUGAGUGCGGAUACUACGUAAUGUAUUUGAUGGCACACACUACUCAUGCCCAUAUUAGAAGUGGUUGAAACGGUAAUAUUUAAAUUUAAUGAAUUUUUAGUUUCUCCAUCAUUUGGAAUUCAUAUACACUAAUUAAUAUCAUGUGUCUUGGGAAGAGAUUCAAGACUCCUACUCUACUUCCUGAGAAGCCACUUACAUUCUUAAGGAAGGAACUUGCAAAACAUUUAAUUAGAUUAUACAAUAGUUCAUAGUUAUUAGGAUUUAAAAUACAUUAGCACAUGUUGAUUUAUAGUUAUUAGACUUUGUACAUUAUGCUUUAAACAUUAUGUGUUGUAAAUAUUGAUUAUGUGUUGAUUCUAUGUUGUAUAUAUUGUGUUUUAUAUGCAGGUUUACUUUUGUGAUAGUGGAUAUCACAAAAACAAACCUGCUAUUAACAAAAAUUCCAAGAGAAUAGGCCUCGGUUAUGGCCAAAACCGAGGUAGAAAGCCUAUCUAUGGCCUCGGUUCAGCCACAACCGAUGCCAUAGGGUGGACAUGAUUUUUAAGAAAAAUAAAGGGCUUUGGCAUCAGUUCUAGCUUAAACCGUUGUAAUAGGCCCAUGUUAUUACCUCGGUUGAACCAAGGUAAUAAUUGUUGCCAUAGGCCCACGUUAUUACCUCCCGCCCCCUUCACCUCUUUUUUUCUUUCUUACUACAUCGGGUGCAGAAGAACCGAAGCAGCAUCCUUUAGGAUAUUACCUCUGUUUAAGCCGAGACCAAAAGUCCCUCACAUUUCUACCUUGCCAGUAAAGGCCUCGGUUCGAAAACCGAAGUGUAUUGUCAACAACAACCAUUGUCGUUUCACUUUGCUGCAUUAGUGUAUUCAUAAUUGUUGGCUCUCUCACAUGAAAAAAAUUAACUUAACAAAAACUAUUUGUAUUGGAAUGUGGAGGGACAAAUAAAAAAGAAAACCAAAAGUUAAUUUCUAAUUUACUUUUUUAAAUUAAUAAAUAACUCACUAAGAUUAUUCUAUUUCCAAUGAAGUAGUAAUUUCUACUGUGGAAUCAGUACAUAACCCCGUAGAAGAUAAAUUUUUGUUAAGCAUCUCUCUUUGAACAUAGAAUGCUGGUCUUUUAGGUAAAGACAUUAUUUCACUCUUGUUUGUCAACAUUGAUAUAACAUUCAACAUUGUUGGUCGAUCAUUUGCAUAUUGUUCAACACAUAGGAGACCAACAUGAAUACACCUCUGCACUUCGUCAUAAUCAAAUGACUCCUUUAAUGAUGGAUCCACUAAUUCAAAACACUUGUCAUCUUUCCAUAAUUCCCAUACCUACAAGUAUUUUAGAAAUUAGACACAAAACAUCAUGCCAAAAAGCAAAUUCAAUAGCUUAUUUUACAUACAUGUCCUAUUAGAUUUAUUGGGUGGUCAUGAUCAUAAAAACUAGUGUUUCUUCGUCCAUUAACUAUUUCAAGCAACAAUACUCCAAAGCUGUAGACAUCAGACUUUGUAGAAAAAACUCCUUCCAUAGCAUAUUCUGGAGACAUAUAACCACUGUAGGAAAUAUUACGUUCAAGAUAAAUUUUAGUUAUACAUUAAUACAAAAUAAAUAUAACAAAGGGUUAAGCAAGCUCACUAUGUCCCAACAACCCUGUUCGUAUUUGAUACCGAUUCUUGUUGGGUAAACAUUCUAGCCAUUCCAAAAUCUGAAAUUUUUGGAUUCAUAUUCUCAUCUAGAAGUAUGUUACUAGCUUUCAAGUCUCUGUGAAUGACUUUGAGUCUUGAGUAUUUGUGAAGAUACAAUAAUCCUUGAGCAAUUCCUUGUAUUAUGUUGAAGCGUUUAUUCCAAUCUAAUAAUUUUCUUCGUGUACAAUCUUCUCCAUAGUCAUAUAAUAAUGAUAGAUAUGCGUUAGAAUGUAUACUAUACAAAAGUAAAAAGCAAAGGUGUAACUUUUCUUCAGGAUGUUCUACAUAGGAAAACAUGAGUAAUUAAUAGUAAAUAUAUCAUAAAAAAAAUUGUAGUUGAGGAAAAUUAAUCUUAAAACCCACAUGUGUUUGGAUAGAUGCAUAAUAAUGAUAAUAUUAACACAUUGCUCACCGAAAAGAUAGAAAUCCAAGCUUUUGUUGGGCAUAUACUCGUAAAUUAGAAUCUUCUCUUCUUCAUGAAUGCAACAACCAAGUAAUUGAACAAGAUUCAUAUGCUGAAGUUCACAUAUAAGUGUUACUUCGUUUUUAAAUUCCACACUUCCUUGUGUUGAACUUUUUGAAAGUCUUUUUAUAGCCACCUCUUCUCCUGUUGGCAAAGUUCCCUAAUAAAAUGAGAUAAAAAGAGGUCAUGAAUACUCAAAACAAAAUUAACAAUACAUAAACUUAAUAAUUUCAAUCACCUUAUAAACUGGGCCAAAACCUCCCUGUCCUAACUUAUUUUCGUAUGAAAAUCCAUUUGAGGCUGCCAAAACCAAUGCAUAAUCGAAUACUUUCAAACCAUGUCCCUUUUUCAAAUCAUUUUCAAAAUCUUCGAUUUGAGAUAAUUUCAUCGCCAUUUCUUUCCGUUUCUUCUCUGUUCAGAUGAAAAUAAGGAAUACUAAAAUAUAAAAAAAUAAUUAAAAGUUUGUUUUUAAUAUGGAGUUUGAAUUCAAUUACCUUGAAGCACAUGUUUUCGUUUCUUUAUGGCUAGGAAUAGAAUGGAGCUGCAUAUUACCAGUAAAGUGGCUGCCACUGUACUUAUCCAUAUCCACCUUUUUGUACCUGCAUCCAAUAAUUACAAUUCUUCAAGUAUCAAUUAUAAAUUUUAUGGCUUUAUACUUUUUCAAAAGCCGUUGUUAAUCGUUGCAGUAAAAUGACUGUAUUGCGUUUAUAUUUGGAGUUCAAAGACUAUUAGAGAAAAUUUUCAGCAACAAAGAAAUUCUCAAAACCUAUUCAUAGUCUAUGCAAUUUAUAUCAUUGGAAUCUUUAUUGUAUAUAUUUUAGAGUAAAACUUCUUUUUUUCUACGAAAAAUGAAAUGAAGUUAGCAUUAGACCAACCGUGAUGAUGAGGGGUAAAUGUUGUCUUUGCUGUAUAUAUGUUCCCUGUGUUCUCCAGUAUGUAAAAGUCUUCACCGGAAACACUGCCGUCAACUAUAAUAUCUUUCGAUGAAUUCCAACGAUAGAAUCUACAUCCAGUUCCAUCAAGAUACACUUCUUUGAAUCCAUUGCAAUUGCAAUCGCUCCAGCAAGCAGCCUCACAAUCACUGUGACUAAUAUUCUGAUUUUGGUCAUAGGUUACAUUUUCAUAAUUUGAGCGAAGACUCUUUUUGGUGAACACAUCACCAGGACUCCUGCACUUAGGAGUAUGCUGCCAUCUUUGGCACCCUCCUUCUGUGUUGUUGUAUCCAAAACACAGAUCAGCCCUUGCAACAUAUCCGUUUCCGUUGUAAAGUAACCGGCCACUAUACGAUAGGGUCCACCAACUUAUGAGGUUUUCGUUUGUAGAAGUGAAAGAGAAUGAAUCCUCUUCCUCAUUAGACACUAUGUUGUACUUCAACAAACGUUGUGCAUCUUCUGGAAUGUGCUCAAAUUUAUUGUUCUUCAUUUUUCCACUUUUCCAACAAACUUUUCCUCGUCUUCUGAUGAUCAGUUCUUGUUCCUUCGGAUCCCAUUCAAACCUAAAGGCACCUGCAGUCGCACGCGAAUCAGUCAACUGUGAAACAAGUGACCAAUUAUGGCCUGUUUUGUGAUUAAUUCCUAACUUCAUGAUGGGGAUCAAAGUAUCAGUGGGAUAAUCAAAACUCUGCCACAGAAGAAUGUUUGUGCCAUUGGGGUGAAGUUGUUGAAGCACAAAAUUGCCUGUGUCGAGCAAAGUGGCCACAGUGUUGUUGAUAGGUUGAGCAGGAGAAUAGAGAAUAAUUGGUUUCUUGACACGUCGAGAUUCUAUCUUCAGCACGCCAGAGAAGUUUAGGGAUAGAACUACAUCCCUCUGGCCGACAGGUUGUUCUCUGUUAGCUUCCCAGACUACAUCAUGUUCAUUGAAGACUGCCAAAUAAGUAAAAUCUUCGAUUUCACCCGGAAUUCCAACCGGAUAAAAUUCAAUAAAAUAUCUGCGAUUCUUGGAAAAUAGUAAUGGUGAAUCAAAAUUAAAUGUAUCACCGGGCCUUAAACUUUCAUCUGCUGGGUGAACAUGAACAGAAGAACUCCAGCACAACCACAAAACAAGCAGUAGUUUGUGUAGAAUAAGACUCAUGGAAUACUUUAAAAUAUAUGGGAAGACAAAUCAGCAAGAGGACGGUUUGCCAAGGAAUGGCAGUGAUAUAUAUAUAUAUAUAUAUAUAUAUAUUAAAAUACAUAUCUAAAAAUUUUAAACAUAACAGACGAAUACAUUAAAAUGUUAUAACAGUAUAAAAAAAUAUUUGCUAAGACACGAUUUGACUAGUACAUGCAUGGGACAAUAUAUUUUUUCCUUGGUUCUGACAGUGUUAUAUGUGCUUAAAAUAAAUGCUUAUUAAUUAUCCUCAUUUCAGCUCAAGAUUACACAGAACAUUUUAGAAUUUUCUCUAUAACUUGAAUUCUAAAUAUGCACAUGUUGGGAAAAUAAAGAAAAGACCCUUUAGUAAAAGAGAAGCAUCAGUUUUCUUUACUAAAAUAAUUGAAAAAGUGUGGAUAAGAUGAUUACUAGUUGUCAGAUUAUUUUGGACAACUGUACAUUAACACGCUCACUUGGCGAAAAGAUAAUGAUAUUUAAACAAUAUUUUUUUGACAACAUUUAAAUAUCAUCUAUGUGUCAUUUUGUGGUUGGUCCAUGUUACAAUUUAUAAUUAUUAUUAUUGAUUAUGAAGUAAUUUUAGACUAAUCAUAGAAUGACACAUAGACGAUAUUUAAAUAUUGUCAAAAAAAUAUUAUUCAAAUAUCAUUAUCCUAAAAAUAAAGUGGAAUUCACCGUAUCGUGUGAAUAUUUUUUUAAGGGUUGUGUUAAAGUAACUUUUUUCUUCUAUUUUUGAAAGUAAAACUUUCAUUAACACUUCAAAAAUUAAAAAAAAAAUUGUUAGUUUCGUACAAGUUAAAAUUAUCUCGUAAAUAAAUUAAUAAUUAUAUUUUAACAAAUUAAUAAAAAUAAGUUUACAAAUAUAUAAAUUAAUUUUAAUUUUUAAACGGAUUAAUUUAUUUAUUCUCAAAACGCUUUUAUAAAAUGUUUGCGCAUGAUACACGAUAUAAAGGGAAACGCAUUAACAAUGGCCGACAAAACUUUUAUUUUAAUGGGACUUACACUUUCUCAUUUCCUUUUGGUUUGUUUUGAGUGAUCUCUUGUCUUCCAUGAUUGAAGUUUAAAAGAUAACGAGUAUCAUUUUAGCAUGGACAAGUUUAACACUUUAUUUUCUCACAAUAGAAAAUUGACUUGAUAUUUAUUAGAUGUCCAUUAUCGUUUUGAAUGUUUACGAUAAAAGGAACUUUAAAGGCUUAAAUAUAUGUUUUUGUUUAUAACUUUACAAAUAUGUAAUUUACUUUUCUUAAAUCUAACUAUACAUUUUCAUUGAUGGUCAACAUAUACAACUUAAUUUGCUAUGCUAAAGUCUUUUUACAUGUGUUAAAAUGACUUAUUAUAUGAAUUUUCAAACCCAUAUAGAAAUAAAGAUAUAAAAAGUAUUUGACUUUUAAAUCAGUUGUACAAUCAGUACAAAGAGUCAACUUUAUAUAUCGAUUUUGAAAUAAUAUGGAAAGUUUGUUAAGGAUGGAAAAAAUAUCAAUGAGGUAAGCUUUUUAUACAUGUUGUCAGUAUAACCGGUAUAAAAAGUAACACUUUUUAUUCCAAUUAGAACUAUAACUAGUAUAAACGUCUUACUUUUUAUACUAGUUAUAACAAUUACCGAUAUAAAGAGUAACUUUCAAUACUGGUUAAGGCAAUAACUAUAUAAAAAGUGAUGUUUUUUUUUCAAUAGUAGAUUUGUAUCUACUACCAUCUAUAUAUAGACUUGCAUAAAUUUCAGUCCUAGAAUAGAUAAAUAUCCCAUAAUACAAUCCAUUAGAUAUACACAAAAACCAAAAUAUAAUCAAUGUACUUCCUAUUAUUCACAAAUCAAUAUAAUGACAUUGUUGGAACAUACAUGAAGGGGGUUGAAUAGUGUUAUGGAAAAAAAUUUCGCAAAUGAAAGUUUAACAACCUUGGUGAUGAUUAGAUGAUCUACAUAGGUUGUUAGACGUUUGAUUUAUGAGGCAGUUUUUAAACCAGAACGUUCAAAGAUAGUGUUUUUCAAGUGUUUAGCAAAACUACUAUAGCUUUUAAGAAAGAUAACUCUUAAGAAAAUAAAGUCUUAUGACAAGAGGUUUAUUAAUAGUUAACUUCCCAAGAAACUGUAGUGUUUAUAAAUAAGAUAUUUUGUGACGCUAAAGACAUAUCAACACAAAUAUUUUUAUACCAGUUCAUUCAACUAAGCUAUGUCUAGUUUUCCUUUAAGACCUUUUAGAAGGUUCCAUUAUAAUCUCAACAAGAUUACAACUAAGUUUUAGCACCACUCCUAGUUACACUAGUGAGUCUUAAUGACACCUGUUACGCUAACUAGAACUGUGUAUUAGCACCACUCAUUAUUACACUAGUCAGUCUUCGUAACACUUGUUACGUUGAUUAGAACUGAGUUUACCCACUUUUUGUUUUCGCUAGACAAUUUUUAAGUGGGCAUUUAAAUCAACUGAGUUAACCACCAAGUGUUUGAAUUCUCUUGAGAAUGUAUAAUCAAUAAGAUGUUUACAAGUCUUAAAUGAGGAUGUGUUUACAAUACAACUCAAUCUAAUAGACCUUGUAGGAUUUUCUCUCUUCUUACAAAUGUAAGUUUAUGACUCUAUUGUUCUUGCUUUCCCUCAAGCCUUAGAGGAUAUUGAUCCUCUCAUAGCCAUGGUUAAGAAGAUGGAAGAGGAAGAUGGUGUUGAGAUUGUUGACAACACUAUGCUUAAUAACAGUACACAUGUUGUAUUACAUGUUCUUAUUCUGAACUGAUUGUUAUAUCUGUUGAACAUGUUUUGAUGUACUGAGAUGUAUGUUCCUAUGUUGAUUGUGUGUUAUAUUUGUGGAACAUGCUUGUACGAUUAUGUGCAAUAUGAACUACUUUAUCAAAAAUAUUUUACUGCACAAUUUUGGAAGUGAAAAAUCACAAGCACGUUUAUGAACUUAUAAUUGUGUGACAAAGUUCUAGUCCACUCGAAUACAUCUGUAAUGGAUUCGACUAUUCUAAAACCUUUGUACAAAUUUUGAGAAUCAGUGCUCUAUGAUGUUUUGGAUUGAAAAGAAUUUCAAAAUGUUUUAACAUAUGUCAGUCGACUUUGUCUAGUGUACAUUCGACUGUAUCUUUGAUCUGUUUUGGAAUUUUGUUAUGCUUACAUGCUCCAACGAUUAUAUUUUUGAAAGGUAGUUAAGCAUUGCUGACUUGGUCAACUGUAAUGAAUGUGUUGAUUUUUGUUGAAUGAGAACCUCCAUGUUGACUGUCAGUUAUAACUAUAAUAAUACAGUCGAUUGAAUUAGUAGGCUAUUGGACUAAGAAACAAUCUGACUGACAAAAAACUAUAAAUUGGCUGAACACGAGUUGUUCAGGGACUUUUGACACUCUGACAUUUUCAUUUCUUGUUUCAGUUUGAAUUCUCCAAGAAGACGGUGGUGAUCUAUCUUUAGAGAGAUUCAAAAGGAGAAGGCUUAUGCGCUGACUGUGUGUUCAUUAUCUGCACAAAGAAGGUGCUUCUUGAUUGAUCAUUGAAGGCUUGGCAUCCUGUGAAGACUGUUGCGUUGAUUGAAGGCUUGACAUCCUGUGAAAAGUGCUGGAAUUGACUUGUUGUGAUAUAGGGGUUACACGUUGAGGAUUGCUCGACGUGGGUUCAGAUUGCAGAAGAGGGGAUUCUUGCAGCUAUACUUUGGUUUUAGGUUAGAGAGGAGAUUUAUAUUUUUGACGUGAGGUCUUCUAUAAAUUCCUUGUUGUAAAAACUGCAACCAUUAUAGUGCAUUUGCUUCCUGGGUUGGAAGGACACUAGAUGUAGGCAUUGUAGGCCGAACCAGUAUAAAAACCAGUGUUUGAUUUUCUCUAUCCCUACACUCUUUAUUUCAGUCGACUAUAUCUAUUACACAAUCAACUACGUUUUUCCGCUGCAUAGAAAUUUUCAUUACUUGCAUUUCAAGAAAGAUAAAAAAACCUUAUACUUUUGUUUAAAGAUUGCGAAAAGAUUUUGUUUUUGAACUAACACCAAUUCACCCCCCCUCUUAGGUAGUUAAAGGGAAGGGUCUCAUUCUUCCCCCUUUGCCAUACGAAUUGUUGGAAAAAGGUUGGCUUCGUUUCAACACCAAGAGGGGGGUGAAUUGGUGAGGUUUCAAAAUCAAAGUGUUUUUGAAAUCUUUUUCACAAAGUAAAAACCUUUACAAAAUUUCUUGAAUCACAAGGAAUGAAAAUUCUAAGUGCAGUGGAAAUACAAAGUUGACUACGUAAACAAGUAAGUCGACUCAAUGUAAAAGUGUAAGGAUAGAGAAAUCAAAUGCAAAUUUUUAUACUGGUUUGACCUCAAUGCCUACAUCCUGUGUCCUUCCAUAAUCCGGAAGCAAUUGCACUAUAAUGGUCAAGGUUUUUACAACAAGGCUUUUAUAGAGACCUCCACGUCAAAAAUAUAAAACACCUCUUUAACCCUCUAACCAAAAUAUAGGCAGUACACACAAAGAUCUGCAAUAAGAUAUCCCUUCUUUUGCAAUCUUUAAACCCAGUCAAAGUUUCCAGACUCCACGAGUCAACCUCCUGUAAUCACAACAGGAAAAACCAAUCUUCAGUAGAUUGAAGGCAGUCUUGAUCAACAAGAAUACACCAGUAGUGUAGAAUCUGAUCAAACAGUAAGCGCAAUACACGUCUCCUUCAAAGAACCUCCUCAAAGAUAGAUCAUCACGGUCUUCUUGAUGAGUUCUUGGAGCAAAUUCUUAGAGAUCACAAUCUGUAAAUCAAAAUGAAAGUGUUAAAAUGUCCAAAAUCUUCUAUGAUCAACUAAGUCACGUCUAUUUAUAGUUUUCUAUAAAUCAGGCGCUCCUGUAGUCGACUAUGCUACUAAUAAAGUCGAUUGUCAUCAGACAAUUAUAACAGUUAAGUCAAAUAGUAGCAGUCAACAACAACCAAAUUGAUUUUUCAUUUGAUACAGUUGACUAUCAUAAAUAUUCUAACAAGUUUUUGAAAUAUAGCCGUUACUGUACACAAGCAUUAACAGAAUUUCAAAUCAAAUAACUAACUAAGUGGGAUCCAGUACGCAUGUAGUCGACUUAGGCACAUCAGCUUAGUUUGAAAAACAUUUCAAUGUUAAAUCACUCACAGCACUGCUUUUGAAAAUUUGUGCAUAGUCACUAGUUUUAAUCGACUUUCUUCAUAAUGAAGUCCACUUAAAAUUUCUAGUUAUGCCACACAAUAUAAGUUCAUAAAAGUGCAUGUGGUUUUCUCUUCAAAACAUAUGUAAUGCAAUCAUAAAUGAUGUAUCAGAUAUAAGCUCAGUAAGUGUGCAUUCAUAUAUCAAGAUCAACACAAACCUGUUCAAUAAGAUAUCAUCCACGAUGAGGAAUAGAACAUGUGUUACAAUACAUGUGUUAUUAAUAAUGUGUUGUCAUCAUAAAAAACCAGAGUGACUAGAACACUGUGAGAUUAAGGUUAGCUAAACCAGUGCUUCCCUUAUCAACAAUCUCCCCUCUUUUUUAUGAUGCACAAUGAUGGCAUACCCCUUGCCAUGACCAAGCACAUUCAUGAAGAGUUGGAGACAUCUAUGAAAGAUGGGCCUAAACUCUUUCUCUUGGGCCAUCUUACGUCAUCAUGAAGAUUUAGUAGAGUAAUAAUAAUUUUGGGCCUUGUAUUUUGGGCCAAGUAGUCUAGAUUUUAUUUGGGCUUGGUAUUAUGGGCCUAGUAGUGUAGGAUUUCAAUUGGGCCUUGUAUUUUGGGCCAAGUAGAAUAAGAUUUUGACCAAACAAGUCAAAGAAGGUUCAAGGCCCAAAGUUCACUAUGCUUGGACCUCCAAAAUGGGUGUGUUGACCAAGGGGUCAACAUUUUGGCUAAGCUUGGAGAACAAUGGAGAAAAAUUUCGUCCUAGAAAUGUUGAAGCUUCCUGUUGGGGAGUUUUCCUCCUAGUUAGUGGCCAUGUGUCACUCUAGGAAUGGAGAGUUUUUCCAUAGGUAGUGGCCACAUGUCACUCUUUCAUUUGAGAGGAUUUUUGCCACAUGUCUCCCUCCUAUUAGAGAGGAUUUCUCCUUGCUCUCCAACACAACCAAGGUGACUCUUUUAGGUUAAAGUUUUAGCCCAUUUUGAGACAUCUUAGCCUAUAAAUAGAUGUGUUCUCCAUCAUGUAAUCACCUUUGAUUUAGAGUAAAGUUAUGCUGCCAUUUUUGUGCCAUACUACUCUUUAAAGGUCACCCUAGGCUAGAGCAACCCAAGUGGCCUCCUCUAGCCACCUUCCUCCUAGAGUUAGACCAACCUCUCUUAGAGAACCACCAAACACACCUUCCAUCACCAUACAACUCAUCAAAACCAUGAGCUAUCAACACCUUUCACCACCACCGAAUUCCGCAAUCUUCAUCCAUGAACUUAUGGCUUGAUUUGCUUCUAGAUUUGGCUUGUCUUAGCUAGAGCAUUUUUUUUUUUGCUAUCACACAACCAUGAUUAAUAAGCAACCAUGUUUGUACACAAACAGCUCAUAAACAGUCAAUUAAUCACUAGAAAUAAGAGCAAAUAUAAGCAAUCAGUAGGUACAAGUGAUUAAAUGAUCUUUCUAGUAUAAUAGAGCAUUUUCCAGUAUAUCAGAGCACAUAAAAGAUGAUUCCAACAUAUAUUUCAGCUCAAUUACUCUAAAUAAAAUAGUAUCAAGCAAACAAUCACAUAUCAAGCAAUUAAGCAUAUUAAUUUAACUUUUCAUAUAUCUCUCCCCCUUUUUGCAUUAGCAAAAAAGGAUUGGUUUCAGAUAUGGAUAUGCUGAUAACAUGAAAUUCUAGAGAUGCAUGAGUGUUAAACAAUGUAAAUAGUUUAAACAUUCAGACAUGCUCCCCCUAUCACAGAUAUUCACAUGAAAUAGAUGUACUCCCCCUAGAAUGUAGGCAUGUGAAAAAUCUAUGCAAUUAAGUAAUGCCCCCUGUCAUUAUGCAUAUGAUAAAAUCAGAUUUAAAUGCACAAUGCAGUUACACAAAUAUCAGAGCAGACAAUCAGUUUGUAUCAAGAUUGUCUCAGUGUUACGAUUGCAAGCAAUUCAAUGAAGCAAAGAUACAACUAUCAACAAUCUCACAAUAAAAUCUCAUUGCAAAACAGUCAUAUAAGAAUAGAGAUAUAUUGAAGAAAACUGAUAUAAAAAUGAUCAAGCAACUUAAUAAGCAAAUUCCAAAAUGGAAUUUGUAAACCCUUGUAAGUGAUAACUCGAUUUGACCAUUUGUUGAGUCGAUUUCAUUGCUUCUCAAACAGUUUUGAUCCAGCAGUAAGUUUCAAAGCAAUGUUUCCUGCAAAACCUUUCAAAGUCGUUUGAAGACCAAGCACUUUAGAAUCACACUAAUGCAAGAAAAUUAAAACAGAUAAGAAGUGAAUAUGCAAAACAGUUAAUGUAACAGUGCGUAUAUGAGAAAUGCAGUAUAACUAGGAAGUGACUCCUAGGUCGUCUCUCAAGGACCAAACUGUGAUUCGAGAAUUAGGUCAAACACGAAGUGUGGGGGUUUGUGAAAAUGUUGUGGUGAAUGCGGAUGAACUAAAUCAAAACACGAAUGCAAACAGAAAGGUAAAAGGAAAUGUAAAAACGGAAUGUGAAAAUGGUUGGUCAUUAACUCAAUCACUAUGCUUUCAAUCACAGAUUAACGACAAAUACAUACUACUCUAAUCCAAAUCCGACACGAAUCAGCCAACUAAGCGGAGGCUAAUUCGGUCUUCAAAAUUGCAAACUAAGCGAAUGCAAUGCACAAAUCUAAUCAGUCAUGCACCAUACAGUCUAAUCAACUAAGCGAAGAUUAAACACCGAGUAGGCAACUAAACGUAUACCUAAUCGCAAGCACAUAACAGAUUAAAUAUUGAGCAGAAUCAGAGCAGUAGUUAUGGCCAUUAAAGUGCAAUAAUCUCAAGGAAACAAAGUAAUAUCGCUAAUGACCAAUCCAAAUUAACCUAAGCUAACAUGAAAAUUAAAUUAGAGAAAACUUGUGUAACUCACUUGAAAAGCAAUUUCAACUGGAAAAUCACAAAAUCCAUCUUAUGGUAUUUAGUUGUAACGCAUGAACAAAGGGGAAAUAUUCAAACAAAAUUAAAUGCAACAACUAGACUAAUAAAAGAAAGACAUAGUAUAGUCAUCUAGAUGAAUAACAUCAACUACGAAACAACUAAAAAAAUAUAAAAAGCAUGAACAGGAAAAUAAUAUGUAAAAGCAACGAAUAAGCUAAAGGGUGAAAGGCACAUUGCAGCUUUGAAAUGAAUUAUCUAAUGCAAAAGAAAUUGUACGCACAAAAUUAGCAAUGCAUGUAAUAUGAAAUUAGCGUGUUUAAAAUAAACACUAAAAGCAAAAUCCAUUGCCUUUGUUAAUCACCGUGCACAUAAAUGCAUUUGCAUAUUUUUUUAAGCUAAAUAAAUCACAACCUCUUUCUCCAAGAAAACCAAGUGGUAACUAAAUGUGUGGUAGCUGCACCUCUGGAUGUAAAUCAUCGAAUAAAAAAAAUUAAAGUUGAAAGGAGCUACAAUGAACCAAAUGAGAACACCAAUUGAACAUUGAAAAGCAGUGUGCACCACUCAAACUCAAUGCAAGCAAAAUAAACAAAAAGGAAGGUUUGCUUUAAUUCAUCCAUAAUAAAAAAUCUCAGACAUGGUUACAAAUCAAGAGCUCCCUCCAAAGUUUGAAAGCUAAGUGCCCCCCCUAGAAGUUUGACGGUUGGUACUAGGAAUCGCUCUUAGGGUAACGUGCAUUUUUAAAUGGUGUUCCCUUCAAUUUUGAUCAAUCUGCUGUAGCGUGUAGUCCAGGCCCUGAUAUCAAGUUGUUGGACUUUGCUUUUCUAGACACACCUCUCAAGCAGCUGAGUAUUUUUUUUUUUGCUGGGUCGUGGACGUGCAUUUGUCCAAGCUGCCGAAGUGUAAAGCUUUCUUUCGGUCGUGCUGGAGCUCUUUCAACACGUUUCUGCCUCUGUUGGACAUUGGACUGGAAGCUGCUAGAUGAGCAGCCCAAGCUGCUGGAAUGUGGAAAUGGAUAGGCUGCAGCUCUUCUGCUGUUGGGCUAUUGUGCACUUUCUACUACCAUGGUGAAGUCCUCCUUCAAAGCUGCUGCAUGAAGCGUGGAUGCCUCUCCUUGCUGGCCAUGACCAAGACUUGGUCCGUGAUGCAGAUGUGGAGCUGCUGCUGUUGUGUGCGGUCCGUGUAGAGGUCUGCCAGCGUGCUCCUGGACGUACAACACCUUUUCAAUUGAAGUUGGACUUCUUGUGUUUUAAAACUCCCAAGAUGCUAGACACUUCUGAAUUAGAUAUCCAAUUAUAGCUUAUUUUCUUUAUCUAAGAAAGCCAAAUAAAUGCAACGUUGUCUUUUCAGCCCCAAGUAAAAUAAACGUGUUGCAGCCCUCAAAUGAAGAUUAAAAAAAAAAUGUUGUGGGCUGCUUCUAUUUUUUAUGGGCCGUGACCAUCCAACCUCCUAGCUGGACCGUGGAUCUCCAUACUAGCAAUUGAAAAUAGGAUGUGUUUUUCCUAAAGUAAUUAAAUCACCGCAUACUUUGUGCUAGCAAAUUAAAAUAGUGCGAGAGCGUAUUUUUCACAGUGCAUGACGAAUCAAUACAUGCUUUUUAUUACAGACGUUUUUGCUUCCUCUAAAUGUCCCAAAUUGUAUUUCCAAAAUUUUCCUUGAAUUAAUAUGUAAAUAAUUAGCUCAGAAUAUUCAAAUUAAUUAAAAUAAGAAUUUUCGAUCAAAAUAAGCACAAUCAGCAGAAAUGGGAAAAUGUCAGACAUUUAAGCACAAUUCCAUGAUUAAAUCUGGUACAAUAAACUAAGUGUAGUUAAUAAAAUAUCGACUCAUCAGUAAUGCAAGAAAAUUAAAAGAGAUAAGAAGUGAAUAAGCAAAACAGUUAAUGUAACAGUGAGUAUGUGCAUAGUCAACUUCAAUAAUUAAAAAGUUGAUUCACUAUUCAUUUUAUACUACUAUAAUUAAAAAGUUGAUUAGACUGUCAAAAGACACAAAUCUUGCCCUUCCAGAAACCACAAAAGAUGAUUACCACGAUCUUCUUUUUAAUUCUUGGAGCACUAAUCUGAAAGAAAUCACAAAAAUCUUUAGAAGCACAAAGCUUCUUACAAAAUUCAAAUUCGCGUCUAUUUAUAGUUUUUCAAAAUUAUGACGCUCUCAAGUCGACUUAGAUACUAAUGCAAUCGAAUGUAUCAUGACAGUUAUAUCAGUUAGUAGUAGUCAAAGCAAAUAAUUGAUUACACGAUUAAUGCAAUUGAUUGUCAUUUAAUGCUUGGUCAACCAGAUUAAAAUAUGACCAUUAGACAUGUCAAGCAUUAACAGAAUUUCAAAACAUAACAAACUUAGUCGAAUGGCUUGCGCACAUAGUCGACUUUGUAAUAGUAUAAGCAUAGUUUUGAAAAACUUUCAAUUCAAAAAAAUCUCACAACACACCUUGAAAAAGUCUGUGCAAAGACACGAGUUUUAAUCGACUUACUUCUUAAUGAAGUUGACUUAAAACUGGUUUUUUGGCACACAAUUAAAUUCAACAAAAGUGCAUGUGGUUUUCCUUUUCCAAAACAUUUGUCAUGCAUUCACAAAUAAAAUCUCAUAUAUAACAUGAUGAAUUGCAAUGAUCAUGACAGAAAAACCACAAACAUGUUCUCAUAUAAUCAUAAUCAUGAAAGCAAUGAACAUGUAACACAAUAAUCACAUGUGUUAUUAAUUAUGUGUUGUCAUCAUCAAAAACCAAAAACUCUAACAUUGUAGGUUCAGCUAAACUAAUGCUCCCCCAAUCAACAAUCUCAACAAUCUCCCCCUUUUUUGAUGAUGCACAAUCAUGAUUAAUAAACAACCAUGUUGUACAAAUCAAUGCAGAUUAUCAAUCAAAUAUCAAUCUACAUAAUUCUCCCCCUUUGGGCAUUAGCAAAAAAAGGUAUGCGCACUACUAUUGAUAUACAUAUAAUCAAUCAUUACAGAUAUGCAUCAGAUAAUCAUAAACAAAACAAACAAAGAUGUUCCCCCUGUCACAAAUAAUCACAUGAUAAAAAUGUACUCUCCCCCUUAAGUGUAGGCAUGUGAAAUAUCUAAAAGAAAUGGCAUAUGGAGUUAGCAGCCUAUAAACAACCUGUUUUCCAAGCAAGUCCUUCUGGAAGUUCACCCAAUACAGUUUAUGACCAAUAAAACCAUUAUGGGCAUAAAGAUCUGAUAACGGUUAAAAAAUUGUUAUUUUCAUACUUGAUUUUGAUAUAAAACACACCCUUUAUGACUUAGAAACUAGCUUGAAAUCAUGCAUUUUGUCUUAGUUAGGUUAUAAGAGAGUUAAAGGAGAUUUUACAGGUAUUAUGCUUGGUGUUGGGUGUUAAUAAGAAUUGAAUGAAGAAUAUUGAAGAAGGAAGGAGUUGGGUUCAAAAAAGGAUGAAAAAAGGUGCAAAUGAUGAAUCACAACUACCGUUGAGUGUUAGGCUACCGCUGAGCGCUAGGCUACCGCUGAGCGCUAGUUUCGCUGAACAGGCUCUGUCAAACGCUUAAGCGCUGAUGCUGAAGGGGGAAGAAAGAGUUGCGCUUACUGUUGAGCGCUAGAACCAACACUGAGCGCUGGUCUCUUCAGUAACAGCACUGCCAAACGCCUGAGUGUGAACGCUGAGGGUCGCACAUGAGUGUCGCACCUAAUGCUGAGCGGUGGACCCAACGCUGAGCGCUGUACUUUGGGCUUGGGCCUGUUUUUUAUAAUUUUUCACAGUUUAUAAAUAGAUUAGAGUGACCCUUAAAGGUCAUCUUUUGGCAGAAGAAGACGCAGAAACUCCCUUUCUCACCCCUUAGAGGCGACUUUUGGAUACGGAAGCUCCAUCUGAUCAAAUGUAGGGGUAUGUUUUUGUAUCUUUAAUUUAAUUCAUCUAGUUUCACCAUGAUUAUGCUGAACUAAAUCCCUUUGUUGUUGGGAAACAAUGUAGUCCUAUUUGAAACUCUCUUAUAUUGAAAUUCUUACUUUAUUCAUAUGCUUUGAUUAUCAAGUGUUUUAGUUUUUCCUCCGUAUAUAAAAUGUUUUGUUUAAGACGUUAUUCAAACACAUAAUCUAUGAUUCUUUCUAUAUGGACACGUAUAGUUAAGUCUAGACAUGAUGAAAUUCUCUUGAUAGCAAUAUUACCUAGAUAUAGGAAUAGGAGGAUCAAUUGCCUUAAGCUUUUGUACACAUUAAUGCAUGAAUAAUUUCUAGGGAGACUAGACAUAGUAAACUAGUAAUUAGGAGCAGGCUUUUUUCACACAAACAUCGGGUUUAGGGUAAUUUUGAAAGUGGCAUGAACAUUGAUAUUAAAGUUGAAUUUAGUAAGAAUAGUAGAUAUUUGAGAGUAGAUUAGGAUGAAACCGUAAACCCCAACAACAACAUUCAUCCAUAUCGUUCAACUGAUGUUGUAUCUCUUUACCACCAGGUAUAAAGUGACGGUUUUGGUGUGUAGAAAGGCACAUGUGUGUUGUCUUGAAAAUUGGAGCACAUGGACAAAAGGAGGCAACAUAAGAAUAGUUUAUUGAAGGUUGAAUUGAAGUUUGACUUUAGGAGGCUAUAUGACUCACGGCCAUGAAGGUUUUCUUGGGCCAUUUGCACUUUUAUAUUUAUUUGUUGGAUGUAUUUGGUCACAUGGAAUGUGUAGGAAAAAGUAUUUUUGAUUAUUCCUUUGCUUUUAAUUAAUUUAGUUAAUAGGUUGAGUUUAAUGUGUUUGAGUUAGUGUUGCGUUUAAUUAUUUUUAAUUGUGUUUGUUAAUUUGUUUGUAACUGUGUUUGAUGUUUGAAUGUUGUCUAAGAUUUUUAAUAGUGUUAGUCUAAUUACCAUGCUAGCUUAAAUUAGUUUGGUUGGUCAUUAACGAUAUUGCACUAUUUCCUUGAGAUUUAUUGGACUGUUCUUGUGUUUAUUCUGCUCUGCCUG